GACGAACGCUGGCGGCAGGCUUAACACAUGCAAGUCGAACGAGUGGCGGGCGGGUGUGGAAUGCUUGGGAAUCUGGCUUAUAGAGGGGGAUAACUACGGGAAACUGUAGCAAAUACCGCGUACCAUAGGAUGAGCCCAAGUGGGAUUAGGGAGUUGGUGAGGUAAAGGCUCACCAAGCCGACGAUCUCUAGCUGGUCUGAGAGGAUGACCAGCCACACUGGGACUGAGACACGGCCCAGACUCCUACGGUAGGCAGCAGUGGGGAAUAUUGCGCAAUGGGGGCAACCUGACGCAGCCAUGCCGCGUGAAGGAAGAAGGCCUUCGGGUUGUAAAGUUCGUUCGGUAGCGAGGCGUUAACUACCGAAGAAGCACCGGCUAACUCCGUGCCAGCAGCCGCGGUAAUAC
rnacentral:rRNA from 1 species